GGGGAAUUGUUCGCAAUGGGCGCAAGCCUGACGACGCAACGCCGCGUGGAGGAUGAAGACCUUCGGGUCGUAAACUCCUUUCGAUCGAGACGAAUGGCCUCCGGGUGAACAAUCCGGAGGAGUGACGGUACCGAGAGAAGAAGCCCCGGCUAACUCCGUGCCAGCAGCCGCGGUAAUACGGGGGGUGCAAGCGUUAUCCGGAUUCACUGGGUUUAAAGGGUGCGUAGGCGGGUUGGUAAGUCCGUGGUGAAAUCUCCGAGCUUAACUCGGAAACUGCCGUGGAUACUAUCAAUCUUGAAUAUCGUGGAGGUAAGCGGAAUAUGUCAUGUAGCGGUGAAAUGCUUAGAUAUGACAUAGAACACCAAUUGCGUAGGCAGCUUACUACACGAUCAUUGACGCUGAGGCACGAAAGCGUGGGGAGCAAA
rnacentral:rRNA from 1 species